rnacentral:rRNA from 1 species
AACGAACGCUGGCGGCAUGCCUAACACAUGCAAGUCGAACGAGACCUUCGGGUCUAGUGGCGCACGGGUGCGUAACGCGUGGGAACCUGCCCUUAGGUUCGGAAUAACUCCCCGAAAGGGGUGCUAAUACCGGAUAAUGUCUUCGGACCAAAGAUUUAUCGCCUUUGGAUGGGCCCGCGUUGGAUUAGCUAGUUGGUAGGGUAAAAGCCUACCAAGGCGACGAUCCAUAGCUGGUCUGAGAGGAUGAUCAGCCACACUGGGACUGAGACACGGCCCAGACUCCUACGGGAGGCAGCAGUGGGGAAUAUAGGACAAUGGGCGAAAGCAUGAUCCAGCAAUGCCGCGUGAGUGAUGAAGGCCUUAGGGUUGUAAAGCUCUUUUAACCGGGAUGAUAAUGACAGUACCGGGAGAAUAAGCACCGGCUAACUACGUG